rnacentral:rRNA from 1 species
GUCCACGCCGUAAACGAUGGGUACUAGGUGCCUGGGGGAGCGACCCCUUGGGUGCCGGCGCUAACGCAGGAAGUACCCCGCCUGGGGAGUACGGCCGCAAGGCUGAAACUCAAAAGGAAUUGACGGGGGCCCGCACAAGCGGUGGAGCAUGUGGUUUAAUUCGACGCAACGCGAAGAACCUUACCUAGGCUUGACAUGCAUGGGAAACUCCUCAGAAACGAGGAGCCUCCUUCGGGAUCCAUGCACAGGUGCUGCAUGGCUGUCGU